GGAAACUUGAAAACUACCGUUGGAUCGAGAAAUGGAUGUCCGAGAUUCGUCCACGUCGCCAUGAGUUAAAAUUUAACUCGUCCGCGAGUUAAAUUUUAACUCAUGGUGACGUGGACAAAUCUCGGACGUCCAUUUCUCGAUCCAACCGUAGUUUUCAAGUUUCC
rnacentral:pre_miRNA from 1 species